AACGAACGCUGGCGGCAGGCCUAACACAUGCAAGUCGAACGCCCUAGCAAUAGGGAGUGGCAGACGGGUGAGUAACACGUGGGAACCUUCCCUAUAGUAUGGAAUAGCCCAGGGAAACUUGGAGUAAUACCGUAUACGCCCGAGAGGGGAAAGAUUUAUCGCUAUAGGAUGGGCCCGCGUAGGAUUAGCUAGUUGGUGAGGUAAUGGCUCACCAAGGCGACGAUCCUUAGCUGGUCUGAGAGGACGACCAGCCACACUGGGACUGAGACACGGCCCAGACUCCUACGGGAGGCAGCAGUGGGGAAUAUUGGACAAUGGGCGCAAGCCUGAUCCAGCCAUGCCGCGUGAGUGAUGAAGGCCUUAGGGUUGUAAAGCUCUUUUGCCGGGGACGAUAAUGACGGUACCUGGAGAAUAAGUCCCGGCUAACUUCGUGCCAGCAGCCGCGGUAAU
rnacentral:rRNA from 1 species